AAGGGUUUCGGAUAUAGGCGUUCCUGGAGAGAGCAGUCGAGCUCCUGCAUGGGAAUUCUUCAGUCUUGUGCUGGACAGCUUAUUUAACCCACACUUGCCAACCAGAGACCCAAGGGCUCUGCCAGGAGCAGAGCCAGCCUGAAACAGGCUGCACUAAGAAGACUGAGUUGUCUGGAGAGAAUGGCCGGGCUGUGAAGACCUGAAGGCACAGCCAUGCUCAGCGAUCGAUGGCCAACACAAAAGAAACUCAAUGGCAUCUUCAGAGGUUUCUGUCUCAGAAUGUUUUGUCAGGGCCUUUUUUUUUUUUUUUAAUAUUACAGGUCCUUUGUAUAUACCUUAUGGCUUCAGGUUUUCUGUUUUUCUGGAAUUCCUCACUGAACGAAUGAGUGUUUUUCUGCAUCUGUAUGUGUUUCUCCUGCUUUUUCUUUUGUUUUGUCCUAUAUCGUGUGUUUCUUUUCAUUUUACCUUACUAUUUUAUUAUUAUUUAGAUGCAUAUUUGUGUUCUAAGGAGAGGCAGAAAAGCUGUGGAUUCGGCUGGGAAGGGAAGUGGUGAGGAUCUUGGAGGAGCCGGAGAAGUGGAAAGGAUAGUGGGAUAUAGUGCAUAAAAAUCUAUUUUUAAUAGAAGAAAACUGGAAAGAAAGAAAAGGAGAUGAGGGCACGGGGCUCCUGGGAAGAGCUUGAUGUGGUCUCCUU
rnacentral:lncRNA from 1 species